rnacentral:lncRNA from 1 species
CAUGGUCAUAAAUAGUUAGAGGUUUGUAUCAUCUAUCAGAUUUAGAGUCAGAAAAUAAUCAACAAGUAUCAUUUAGAGGUAGAAUGACCAAGAAGUCAUUGUGUAUCAUAUAAGGAGAAUUUAAUCAUUCUAGAUACUUAAAAAUGGAUCCCAACUGUGGAUGACAUUAGACAUCACUCAUAUGGCUGCUAUUAUGUAUAAUAUACAAUAAUAGAUAGGAGUGGGUAUUUUCUGAUAAUCAUCAAAAUAGUUAACUUUGUAUUAGCCCAUUGAUAUGUCUCAUAUUGAAUGGUCAACAACAUGAAACCAUCUCUUGGAAACCCCUUUUUUCCGGAAAUGACAAUCUUGUAUGUACAAUACGCAAGUGGCCGCUUGACUUGAGAGCACUACUAUCUACUGUGAUCUUAGUUCAAUAAAUUUAUGUCCAAACCCAUAUAUCAACCAGGAUAUUUUGGAUUU